GUGGGGAAUAUUGGGCAAUGGGGGAAACCCUGACCCAGCAACGCCGCGUGAAGGAAGAAGGUUUUCGGAUCGUAAACUUCUAUCCUUGGUGAAGAUAAUGACGGUAGCCAAGAAGGAAGCCCCGGCUAACUACGUGCCAGCAGCCGCGGUAAUACGUAGGGGGCAAGCGUUGUCCGGAAUGAUUGGGCGUAAAGGGCGCGUAGGCGGCCUGGUAAGUCUGGAGUGAAAGUCCUGCUUUUAAGGUGGGAAUUGCUUUGGAUACUGUCGGGCUUGAGUGCAGGAGAGGUAAGUGGAAUUCCCGGUGUAGCGGUGAAAUGCGUAGAGAUCGGGAGGAACACCAGUGGCGAAGGCGACUUACUGGACUGUAACUGACGCUGAGGCGCGAAAGUGUGGGGAGCAAACAGGAUUAGAAACCCCUGUAGUCC
rnacentral:rRNA from 1 species